GUCGCUUCUGCCCCGGCCUUGCGAGCACCUAACAGAAUUGUGUUAGUUGGCGGUAGCGGGAGGAUCGAUAAACUGGAACCAACAGCCAAUAUGGUCACAAAUAAAUAUGUGAUGAGAAAAACAUAGACUACUGAAAAGAAAAACAACUGAAACAUGCUGCUCACAGCUCUCACUACCCUGUGUGUUGGACUCACUGCUGGGUUCACAGAGCAAAGUGCGCCGGAGAUCACCCGACGGCCGCAGAACACGGAGGUGAAGCUAGGCGGACGGCUGGAGCUGCCCUGCGAGCGGCGCGGCGAGCCGACGCCUCGCGUCCGCUGGGAGUUCCAGGCGGC